CUUUAGACCUGUGACCAGAGCCCGG
rnacentral:misc_RNA from 1 species